rnacentral:sRNA from 1 species
GGCGCCAAGGCACGGAGUUGACGUCAACGGAGUCCGUGUUAGGGGCCCCCAAGCAGAGUCUGGAAAAGGGGGAUGGGAUGUGGGUGUGAAGGGAUGCAGCCCCCCCAAAAGAAAUCGGGGUGAAUCAGAAAUACCUACUAAUGAUGCCCCAAUGCAAAACCUGAGAAGAGAGAGGGGAAAAGGACAAGCAUAUAUUUGUCUAAAAUCGGGAAAAAGGAAAAACCAUGAAAAAUCGAGGCAGAAACACAUACGUUGAGGUCUAACCACGAACGAUAAAGGUGGAAGAAAGGACUUUUCUGCCUGCAACACCCAAGUACUAAGCUAAUUUCCUUAAUAAACGAAGAGCUAUUGGAAACCAGCAAGGGAAAGACAAAAGCAAACCAAAAAGGGGCAAAAGAGACUGCAAGUCACAGGACAAUACAAAUGGCUGGAAGAAUCAUGACCUGACUGUCUGCAUAGCGAAACGCCAACCUGAGAUACUGGGUGAAGGCGGUUUAUGGCAGCGCGCUGAAUCGCAUGUGGUCACCCACCAUUGCAUGAAUCCACUGCAUAGAAUAGCAAGAGAUUGCAAGGGGAGUAAGCGGGUAGAUUACCAAGCCCGCCUGUGAUAGAAGACAUCCCUGUCACCAGGAAAAAUAACGGGGGUAUCGCUGCCAUAAAGGACCUGAAUCGUAAUAGAUCCAGUGAAAUAAAGCCCGCUGCUGAAGUUUGUAGAAACGAAAUGUGUACAGUGCCAUUUUCCUGAGGCUAUAUGACCUGUGACACCAUAACAGGCUGAAGGCUCAAGCAGAUGAGAAUUCCAACUGCUCCCUAUCAAGUCUGACACCGAUGACAUUUGCAGAGAUGUAAAACGAUGCUACCAGGUAGCCACAUCUGCUGUGUGUCCAUGAUUGCAUGCCAUGUCCAGAAGACGGUGUUUCAUGUCGCACCUUCCCAUCCUGCCAUCAGCCCUACGUCCUACACAGUAACUCAGCUGUUUCCUGUACAGGUCUCUCCCAUGCCCCUUCAUCUCCAUAUCUCCAUGGCUGUACCUGUGUUCCUGGUCACCCCGUGUCUCCCUCACUCCCCGACCCACGUGGCCUCUGAUCAACUCAGCAUUUGCAGCCACAGGGAUCUUCUCAAGAGGAAAAUUGGAGGGCAUCACCUCCUCGCUCGAAACUGGCCAGUGCCCAUUAGGCUGAAGACCUCAGCAUUCGCCUGACCAUCUAUACUGAGGAUUGAACCCAGGGCCUUGUGCAUGCUAGGUGAGUGCUCUACCAACUGUGCUCCAGCCUCAGAUCCCUAUUCACUUUUUAAAUUUCCUUGCCUUGAUUGCCAGUAUCUGGUUCCUUACUCUAUCACUUCCGGGUAAAGAGCCUGACUCUUCUAUGGUGAUGUGUGGGCACUGGGAUAGGGUCUCACCAAGUCACCCAUGCUGGCCUGGAACUCACAGUCCUCUUAACUCAGUCCCCAGAGUGCUGGGACUACAUGACCACCCACCCCCAGGAGGCAGGGGCAUGACUCUGUGUCUUCCCUGAUCCCUGCGUAUAAGCCGUGCCUGACCACAGGCCUGCAGAGCAUUUGUUCAGUGACUGAGAACUCCACUGCUAGUGUGUAACAAGGUUAGAUUUAGAGUUUACACCUGACCAUACCUGGGCCGUGUGCCUCAGGAUUCUGCCAUUGAACAGCAGGAAGGGAGGGAUGAGGUUUUCAGGAGAGGAGUCACCUGCCAUCCCAUAAUAUGGCACUCAAGGGAUGAGCUGACACUGUUGAUGCCUGCAGGGAGUUUUGCAGUGGAGCAGGGACUAAGGAGUUUUUGUGUUCUUUCUUCCUGAGAUGGGACUGUCAGAGGUAGCAUGAACCCAACGCCUUUAAGGAAUGCUGAGGGCCAUCGGCGGGAGGAGCGGUAGGGCUUGGCUUUAUUUCCACCUUUCUGCUGCUGCAGGAGGCACGUUUUUGAGACUCACUUCUCCAGAAGAGCAUGGGAGCAGAACCCACACCCUCAGCUAUCAAUAUGUACAUGAAUAUAAAAAUAUGACCAGGGUCCACACCUUCCCUUUGCAGGAUAUUGCCAAACAUUCCAGGUUUUAUCACACUUUCAUGGAGUUCCAGAAACCUCUGGGCUGGUCCAUGGACUUCCGUGCAAAAUCUUUUAUUAGCAAGAACCUACUACCCCCACACCUGACAUAUCUGAUCACCUUCCUUAUCCUACCCAGUGACGUCUCAACUCCCUGCCCUGUGUCCAGCAAGACUGCUGGGUCAGAGUGGAGAGAAUUCAGCUCAUCCUUAUGUUUCCAUGGGAACCUUUCCUUCCCAUGGACCUGAUCCUGAUUCUUGCCGAUAGACAACAGCUUGCCCACACUGUGUUUGGAAUUAGACUGUAUCUUCACCCCUUAAUCUUCAUAGGAAAACCCAAGGCUGGUGACAUGGCUCAGCUGGGUAAGGGUGAUGGUGGCCAAGCAUGAUGACUUGAAUUUGGUCCCUGAUACUGGGCAUUCUUUCCGUCACGGGAAGGAGAGGGCUGACUCCUGCAAGUUGUCUUUUGAUCUCCACAAGUGCACAUCCCCCUUCCUGCAAAAUAAAUAACCUAAUGUAAUUUAAGAAGAUGAAGACGAAAAAACACUGUCAAGGUCCUUAUAUCUAUCGAGACAGUCCUCAAUAAAAUUUUUCUUACACAGUCCGUC